rnacentral:rRNA from 1 species
AUUGAACGCUGGCGGCAUGCCUUACACAUGCAAGUCGAACGGUAACGGGCCUUCGGGUGCCGACGAGUGGCGAACGGGUGAGUAAUGUAUCGGAACGUACCUUUCAGUGGGGGAUAACGUAGCGAAAGUUACGCUAAUACCGCAUAUUCUGUGAGCAGGAAAGCAGGGGAUCGCAAGACCUUGCGCUGAUUGAGCGGCCGAUAUCGGAUUAGCUAGUUGGUAAGGUAAAGGCUUACCAAGGCGAUUAUCGGUAGCUGGUCUGAGAGGACGAUCAGCCACACUGGGACUGAGACACGGCCCAGACUCCUACGGGAGGCAGCAGUGGGGAAUUUUGGACAAUGGGGGAAACCCUGAUCCAGCCAUGCCGCGUGCAGGAUGAAGGCCUUCGGGUUGUAAACUGCUUUUGUACGGAACGAAAGGUCCUUUCUAAUAAAGAGGGCUCAUGACGGUACCGUAAGAAUAAGCACCGGCUAACUACGUG